rnacentral:rRNA from 1 species
CACUAGUGGAUGAUUAUAUUCUGUGCCAGCUACCGCGGUUAAACAUGGAAUUCAAGUAAACUAGAUUGGUAAUGUAGUAAGCUGUGAAAAUAUGAUAGGAUAGAAAAUUUAUAGGGGUAUAAUCCGCUAGAUUAUAAUUAGUUUAUUACUAUCGUUUAGUGAUUCUAUGAAGACUUAGACUAAAACUAGGAUUUGAUACCCAAUUAUUCUAAGUUUCUAAUAUUAAUACUGGGGUAGUACGGGCUUUUGCCUAAAACUCAAAGAAAUUGGCGGUGCUUUAACGUCUCAGAGGAACCUGUUUUUUAAUAUGAUAAUCCACAAGAACUCUGCUUGGCUUAGAAUUUUCAGUUUGUGUAUUGCCGUCGAAAUUGUUGACUUUUUAAGGAGUUAAUAGUCUGGUUAAAAAAUUGAAUAAUUUUUUAUGUCAGGUCAAAAUACAGCUUAUAGUUAAGUAAUAAUGGGUUACCUUUAUAAACUAGGCAAAGUUAAAAUGAAAAUUUUUAAGCGAAGAUGGAUUUGAAAGUAAGAAUGUAAAUAGAAAUAUUUUCUGAAUUUAGUAUUCUAAAGUGAGUACAAAUCGCCCGUCGUCCCCGUUGAAAAAUGGGGUAAGUCGUAACAUAGUGGGUGUAACGGAAGUUGCACCUAAUAAUUAGAAAGU